CCUACGGGUGACAACAGUGAGGAAUAUUGGUCAAUGGACGCGAGUCUGAACCAGCCAAGUAGCGUGAAGGAUGACUGCCCUAUGGGUUGUAAACUUCUUUUAUAUGGGAAUAAAGUGUUCCACGUGUGGGAUUUUGUAUGUACCAUAUGAAUAAGGAUCGGCUAACUCCGUGCCAGCAGCCGCGGUAAUACGGAGGAUCCGAGCGUUAUCCGGAUUUAUUGGGUUUAAAGGGAGCGUAGGUGGAUUGUUAAGUCAGUUGUGAAAGUUUGCGGCUCAACCGUAAAAUUGCAGUUGAAACUGGCAGUCUUGAGUACAGUAGAGGUGGGCGGAAUUCGUGGUGUAGCGGUGAAAUGCUUAGAUAUCACGAAGAACUCCGAUUGCGAAGGCAGUUCACUGGACUGCAACUGACACUGAGGCUCGAAAGUGUGGGUAUCAAACAGGAUUAGAUACCCGUGUAGUC
rnacentral:rRNA from 1 species